ensembl:lncRNA
GUUCCACCAGAUGAAGGAGCCUUUUGAGAGGCAGCUGGCAUCGUGAUUGGACUGUACUUUGGUCUGUUCCAAUCCAGCUUCAGCUCCAGAGACGGCAGGCGGGACGAGUCAACGGAGGCCGGGUGGACGAAGGCAUGCAGCUGAGUACAAUCCAGAAAACAACAGAGGAGGAGUGCAGUGGCCCACAGCUAGAACAACCAGAACCAAAGAACUACAGACUCUUCACAACCUGCUCAAACUCUUGGUACAGGACCUCACCACACGGGUCAAGAAGGUUUCCAUCUCAUUUCUACUCUGAAGCUCACCUUCUCCUGCUCAAACUGCUGACAAAUGUUUCUGCUGCUCUCAAGUCUGGUCUCCAGAACUUCCUAAAAACUCUCAGUCUCUUCUGCUGCAGGUUGCUUUGUAGAACUGUUGCAGAAAACCUCACUAAACCACAUGGAGGGGCCUCAAGAUAGUCAUCCAAAUGAAACCGUACAAAAACCAAACUAGCACAACCCAAACGCUAAAGUCUCCUGCAGCCUACCAGAGAACCUCUGAGAACAGAGAAUCAGGACAGGAACUCUUACCUUCUGGACAACCAACGUUGGUUCACAAACAAGAAUUCAGAAUGUGUCUGACCAAAAACCUCUAAAGACUCACUACAGCCAAGAUAAAGACACAACUCAGCUGUACCAAAUCCACUAAUCACUGCACACAUUAACACCAUGUGCUAACUGUGGCUAAAGAACCACAUUUACCAAGACAACUAUCCAGUACAAAGCCCUAAAACACACCAAGAAACACAUUAAAGACGAUUUUACUGCUGGAAGCUGCAAGCCAACGCCUAAAGAACACACUAAAGCAAUGGAGCCAAACCCGGUUCUGUGGUGAAGAGAAGCAGAGGAAAUGUUUGUCUGCAGCUAAAUAAAGCAGGAAGACACUGAGCUGCUCAGGUGUUCCUGAUAACACCAAGCAGCCACCUGGACAGCCAAUAGGAACACAGCUUACUGGAAGUCCAGAGGGCGGGGUUAGUGAAGGAAAUUUAGUUUAAAGUUGAAGCAGAAAGUUAAUAAAGAAAGUUGAAAACCACCUUCUGAUACCUGAAAUCUCUGAGUUUUCACACAAAGAACAC